UAAUAAGUCUCUGUGUCAUGUUUGGGAGUUGAUUGGAGGCCCAAAAGAAAAAGCCUGGUACAAUCCUCUCUCGAAAUCUAUUCCCACCAAUAUCUCCCUCAACUCCUAAAUCUCUUCCACCCUCUCGUAUUCCAUCCCUCCAAACUUCUCUUAUCGAAUAUUUGUCACUCACAUUCCUUACCUGUCCUCCAUCAAUCCUUCCACACUUAUCCCUUUCCCCUGGUGUUCCCCAGAUCCUCUACACUCCUGUCCCAAACUCUCAAAGACCUCCUCCCCUAUCCCUCUCAGACACUUGUCCCCUUGAUCUAAGUCCCCCUUUGGGAACCAAAGCCAAGUUCUCUCAGCCUUUUCACAACUCCAAAAUCCCAUUACAGACCGUCCUUCUCACCAUUUGCCAAGAGCCUCCUCAGUCAUCCAUGUUCCUAAAACAUUCCAAUCUCAAAACCCACCUAAGUACCCUAGGAAAGAUGAUUCUGGUGUAACAAAAGCCUCUCAGAUUGUAUUCUCCCAAACACAACCUGCUUUCAGAUGAGAGCUGUUCCCCAAUUAACUUAGUAUAGCAAAUCUAAAUUUUCCUGGCUCCUCUCAAGAACUCUCAAACUCCAGAUAAGUUUUCCUGCCUAUUGCCUGUUCCUAAGGGUGGGACCUCUCCCCCUUUCCCUGGGAGCUCUGCCCCUUUCCCAGGUCUUGGGACUCCUCUUCCCAACAACCAGGACCACGAACCUAACAGUUCCAACUGUACAUACAAGAUAAUUUUUUUUUCUAAAUCCCUUAACUCCACCUCUGUCCCUAGUCCAUCUGUCCCAACAGAUUUCAAGUCAACUACAGACUAAACUUCAACAACUCAGGAUCUCCAUCCUGGUGCAGCCUCACAGAGUCUUCAAGUAGUUUGUCUGGUUCAGUAAAUUGAAGCUUUUAGGGUUACCCCAGGCUGAAAGUAAGGGAUUAGAGCACAGACACACUGGAGGAGACCGCAUGGAGAAAUGAGAGGCAGCCUUGCAAACCCAGGAGAGAGGCCUCAGGUGGAAACUCUGCCAGCACUCUGUAGACUUCAGCUUUCAGAACUCUAAGAAUGCACAUUUCUCUUGUUUAAGCUGUCUAGUCUCUAAUGCUUUUUAAAGCAAGCCUCAACUAAUACAGAGAGUGAUCCAUAUCUGCUCGCCAGUGCAAACAAAAAGCCCAGGAAAGGCUUUCAUUUAAGUCAUAAAAUGAUUCUACCAUACCACAAAUUAUUAUAAAUCUUUUAUGUACAGAACCUGAAGGAACACAGAAGAAGGAAGGGUUAAAUGUAUUUUUUUUAACUUAUUUUUGGUGUUCUGAGACAGGGUCUCACCUUGUAGCCCAGGCAGAGUUCUCUUGGGCUUGGAUGUGGGGACUGACUCAGGAGGAAGAACAAACAGUGUGUGGCAGAACUAUACCUCGGCCUUGCAGGACCCUACAAUAAAUCUCCCAUACUGUAGCCAAGUAAAUUUCCUUAUGCAGAUGCGGUAUUUUGUCCAUUCAUCAGCUGAUGAACAAUAUGGGCUUGUCCACAUUCUGGCUCUGGUGAGCACUGCAUCCUUGAACAAUGGUGUGCAAAUAGCUCUUCUGUUUGUCUUUAGUCUCUUUGUGGGACCACAGAUACAAGCACACAAAUUGUUUCUCACAGUUCUGGAAGCUGUCAAGUCCAAGGUCAAGACACAGGCAUUAGUGUCUAGUGAGGAUCUUCAUACUUCAUCCUUACAUGGUGAAAGGGAUGAAGAGGCAGAAGGAUGAAUGCUGCGUCCCCACACGGCAGUAAGGAGAAAAGCAAAAAGACUGUGAACAAGGGCUGGGGGCACAUCUUUGCCCUGGGUCCUCACCUCUUUUGCACAGCCUAGAAGAGCUGGUUCACCUUGGUGUUUGUGUGAGGAUGAACGGGAAACGUCCGAGCUCCUUCAUGCAGAACUAGAAACCAGGAGUCUUUCCUCACUGUGUUUUCGUCUUAAUCCUCAUGAUGAGGACUUGAGAUCAGUUCCCAGCACCCACAUGGCAAACUCAUAUCUGCCUGAAGCUCCAGGGCCAGGGGAUCCAAUGCCCUCUUCUGACCUCCACAGGCUCCUGCACCCACAUAUGCAUAAAUAAUAAAUACCCAGGCACAUACACAUAAAUAAAUAAGAAUUAAAAAUAUUGUGCAAUGAAGAGACUAUUUUGUCCAAGUGGGUAUACUUGUCAAGAUCAUUUGACCAUAUACACGGGCAUUUAUUCAUCCUGUCUGUUCUAUGUUUCUUUCUCUUGAUCUAUUUGUCUUUAUGCUAGUAGAAUUUUCUUAAUAUGGAUAACAAAUACUUUUUCAA